UAUAUCAAUCUCCCCUUCUUUAAUGAGGGAGACAUAAUUUUUGUCUCGACCUUCCAAUUAGUUCUGGCCAUACAGGACUUGUUUGCAAAUGGUAAUUGGAGGAGUAAUAGUAAUAGUUAUAUUACUAUUGCUGUAAUACAUGUACUUUCUACUAAACACAGGAACAAUGAACAUUCAUAAUACAUGUAACAAUAUCUUAUGUUUUCAUUUAUGUUUACCUCUAAUGAACUAUACAACAUUAAAUAGACAUAUAUUCACAUUACAGAACUAAUUAAUUUUCAUGAUACCCAUGAGAAGCAAAGUGGGGGUGAGUUACAUUAUUCCCAUUUUAAGAGGAGAUAAUUAAACCUUGCCUGGAGUUACACAUUGACCAUUUGAGAAGCUAGAAGUAAAUUACAAGUCUUGACAAUGGUGCCACUUCUUCCAACCAGGGCAGUGUUCCGCUGAUGGCACUGAUACAUCAGUCCCUGGUCAAUGCCCAGGCAUAAAUGUCUAAUUUGAAAAUCCUUUUUAAAUGUAACAUGGCAGAUUGUGAAGGGUGGUUGCUAAUUAGAGAAGAAGGAUGACAUAACAAGGAUAUUUUCAUUGCUAGUGGUUUACCCUUUUUAAACAAAAACAUACCAGUGAAAAGUAGAAAAGAAAAUCAUACAUUAUGGUUCAAUAAUUGUUUACUAUGGGCUACUUGGUGCCAAGUCCUAUGCUAGGAGCUCUGAAAGAUGAAAGCUAAAUAUGUAUCCUUGAUAGAUAUUUAAUAUGUAGUUGAAGAAUCAAGACUUACCUGCAAGAAACAUGCAGAGCACUGUAAAAGACAUAAUAUAAUCAAGUGCCAAAAUGUGUGUAUAGAAGGCUUUUGUGUCCUAGAAGACAGACAUCUUUUAUUUAAAAAAGGUGAAACUGGGGAGAGUUUGUGUGGCGGGACUGUGGCGGCAGUGAGAGCAAUUGGCACUGGCCCUUGCGUCCGGUUCAGUCAGGAGUUGGACUUCCUGACCAUUGCCAUCCACAUGCCCUACGUCCGGGUCUCAGAGUUCAACGUCUACUUUGAGAGGCCUGACUUCAGGUUCUAUGCCAAGCCCUACUUUCUCAGAUUAACCCUUCCUGGAAAAAUUGUAGAAAAUGGAAGCGAGCAAGGGUCCUAUGAUGCAAAAAAAAAAAAAAAAAAAAAAAAAGGAAUUUUUACCAUUCACUUGCCCAGGGGCUAGACAUGUGCUGCUCUUCUGGCACCAAGAAAAUCCAGGACAGCAAGACCACUUUUGGAAGAAAUAGGUGCUUCUGAGAUUCCUGAAGAAGUAGUUGAUGAUGAAGAGUUUGAUUGGGAAAUUGAGCAGACAUCCUAUGAAUAGGUAUCAGAAAGUGCUAUGAAUCCGCAGUGCCACUAUGGAUUUGGAAACUUACAAUCAGGAGUGUUUCAGUGGUUACAGGAUGAAUUGAGUGAUGUUAUUGAUAUUAAGGAUCUAGAUUUCAGCCCUGCAGCUGAACCAAGACAGAAGUGCCUGGCCACUGAGCUGGCCGAGUUUGAUCCUGAUCAUUAUCUAACUGACAUUUUUGAAGAUGAGGCGGUUGAACAGAUUUUGAAGUACAAUCCAUGGUGGACUGACAAAUAUUAAAAAAUGACAGCCUUUUUGGAAAAGAGUCAGGAGCAAGAAAUCAUGCUUCUUUAGUGUCUUUUUCUGAAGAAGAAAAAUAUCAGCUACAAAAAUUUGUCAAUAAAUCUUAUCUGUUGGACAAGAGAACCUGUUGUCAAGUGUACUACAGUUUGAUUGAUGUCCUUCUGGAAUAUUGCUAUGAAACCUGUGUCACUGAAGGAGAGAAGAAUGUUGAAUCUGCAUGGAAUAUCAGGAAACUGAGUCCAACAUUAUGGUGGUUUGAGACUUGGACUAAUGUUCAUGCUAUCAUGGUGUCUUUUGGAAGAAGGGUGUUGUGUUACCCACUCCACUGCCAUUUCAAGCUGGUGAUGAAGGCCUAGAGGAACACUAUAUAGAUAUUACAACUAGGUAAAAGUGCAGUUUUAAAGUAUCUCUGGAUAUUCACAAAAUUUUUCAGGAAAACAACACAGCAUAAAUACUGAAUGAUCUCUACAUCUCAGACUACUGUGUGAAUUCAGAAAGUCAAAUCUAAAAGUUGGCAGUUCUUGCAGAAGAAGCCUUAAAGGAAAUCUCCCUUACAAAGGCCCAGCUGGGGUUAGAACUGGAAGAACUAGCAGCAGCAGCACUUCUUGUCCAGGAAGAAACUGCAUUAAAAGCAGCCCAUUCAGUAUCUAGGCAGCAGACACUUUGCUCCAGAUCUGAGGCAAGUGAUAUAGAGGAGUCAGACAGCACCGUGUCAUCUGGAAAUGAAGACUCAGACUCAGAUUCAAAACAAGUUAAACUCAAAGAUAGUCCAUCUAAGACAGUCAGUUCUUUGCAAGGUCCCUUUGUGGAAAGCAGUGCCCUUCUUAUUGUUGAUGGUGGAGUAUGCAGAAACAUAGCCAUCCAGGAAUCCGAUGCCAGUCAAGGAAAGUCACUUGCCUCUUCCCAGUGUUUUGGAGUGCCUGGGCCUCUGAUAGCGGAGUGUGGGGAACAAAUGAAGACCACAGUUCAAGUUUCUGAACCCAAGGGCACCACUGCUGUAACAAUAUGCAGGAGAGAGACAGCUGUCAGACACCAAAUAAUUGACUCUUAAGUGGUUUUAUUCAUUGUUAAGAAAUAUGUUAGAUUCAGUUUCAUUUACAGAAUAAAAAUUCCUCAUUUUUACUUUGUAAUUUUUCUUAGUAUAUACAGUCAGCCUGCUGUAUUUGGGUUUCACAUCUGUGGAUUCAAUAACUGCAAAUCAAAAAUAUUUAAGAAAAAAUUGUAUGUGUACCAAAAAUGUACAGACUUUUUUUCUUAUUCUCUAAAUAAUACAGUAUAACAACUAUUGCCCCAGCAUUUACAUUGUAUUGGGUAAUAAAAGUAGUCUAGUGAUGAUUUAAAGUGUAUGGGAGGACACGGGUAGGUUAUAUGCAAACGUCAUGUCAUUUUUUAUCAGGGACUUAAGCAUCUGAGGAUUUUGGUAUCCUCAGGGGUCCUGGAACCAACCCCCCAGAAACUGUGAUGACUUUAUGACAUUGUUUUUCAAUCAGUGAAUGUUUUUCCCUUUUGGUUUCCUUGCUGCAACUGUGAAGAUAAAGUUAAAAAGUAUUUUUACCAAAGUGUACCUAAUAUUUCAAGCUGAAAAUAAUUGUUCUACUGUCAGUGUCUCCAGAAUGUAGAGCCCACUAAUAUUUUUAUUUUAACUUUACUGAGGUAUAAUUGACACCUGAUAAACUGCACACAUGUAAAGUGUACAAUGUGUUGGCAUAUGUAUACCUCAUGUAAAACUGUCACUGUGAUCAAGGUGAGGAACGGACUCAUUAUCCCCAAGUGCCCUUGUGCCUUGUUAUUAGUUUGCAUAUCCUAGAAUCCUAUGUAAAUUAAAUCAUACAAUAUGUAUCUCUUUUUUGGGUCAGGCUUAUUUUACUCAGUAUAAUUAUUUUGAGAUUUAUCCAUGUGAUAGCAUGUGUCAUGAAUUUUUGUUUUUGUGUCUUUCAUUGCUGAGUACUACUUCAUUGAAUAGAUUUGUUCAUUGGCCUAUUGAUGGACACUUGGGUUGUUUCCAGUUUGCGGCUGUUAUAAAUAAGGCUGUUAUGAACAUUUGU